UGGUCUCUAGUGAAUACUUUUGCUGUCUGGAACUCUCUUCGUGUUCCAAUGAUCAGAUGGUGUCUCUCCCCCUCUCUCCCCA
ensembl:ncRNA Y37A1B.331 ncRNA